rnacentral:lncRNA from 1 species
AUGAGAAAGUCAGUAAUUGAAAACCAGUUUUUUUCCAGCAUUUCUUGGCAAGUCUCUGAGUACUUCAUAUGGAUUAUCAGGAAAGAUUUUACAAUAUCAAAGGCUGCCAAAGGUUAUUCCAAUCUUCAAAAGUUGUUAACGAGGAAAAAAAAAAAAAACAAAGACCAAGCAAGCAAACAAUAACAGCAACAACUCUCCUCCAUCCUGAAGUCUGGACAAAGAGAGACUGAGUUUAAUUUCUUUCUAUUUGGAAGAAUAAUGUUUCCAUGCUGAAAAUCUUUAAACAUAUUCAACCAUUUUUGAUCUACAGAUACAUUUUCCUUUGUCCCAUUUUGCUAGGAAGUUCUCAUUAAGAUAUGACCUAAGGACACAGUGUUCAUUAAACAGGUAAUAUGACUAAGUUAACUGCCUAUUUUCUAAGAUUUGCCAUUCUGGGCCUCCCCAACUAAACCUAGCCAAGCUUAUAGUUUCUAUGAAGAUUUCCUUUCUAAAGGACUAGUUAACUAUUAACCUAUGAAUACCAAGCUCCCUACUUCCCAAGGUCCAAAUCGCAACAAACAGCAUUUGAGUAGUUUUCAUGUUAAGGUCUUUUCCUUUAGUGGUGAAAUUAAAAUUUUUUUCUUACAAUUUUUUUAUGAUCACCAAUAUUCAUAUGAGAUUUUUGGUGCUGAAAAAUAAUAAUAGCUAACACAUGUGAAGGGUUUCCUAUGUGCCAGGCAGCGUGUUGAGUGCCAGCAUGAAUUCUCUCAAUCUUCACAGCCAUCCUACAGGGUUGGUAAUUUUAUCUUCCUUUUAUAGAUAAGAAAAUUGAAACACAGAGGAAUUAAAUAACUUGUUCAAGGUCACACUGAGUAAGUAGCAGACUCAGGUCAGUCUGAAAUCAGAGUUCCUGCUCUUAAAAAUACACUAUUGUGUAUCCCCCCCUUCCCCCUAGGUUUUGCCACUCAAAUUUAAAAACGGCAUCAUGAAAAACAGCGGUAUUUGUUGAGAAACUCGAUGGUUUUUGAGGUAGUUUAUGAGAACAAUGGUACAGAAUAUUUCAAAUAGAAACUGUUACAGAAAAUUCAAGAAUUUUAGUCUCCAUAAUUAAAGCACAUUAGACACAGACAUACUUGAAAAACUACGCAAAACAAAGUAAUAUUUGCAUUAAAAGAAGAAUUAUGGCUAAAGACAAUAGAGAGUGGGAAUAAUGGGGAGGAAGGAACAAGGCAGAGAAAUAAAAUUUGUUUUUCUAACUGAGGAGAGCGAGAA